AGUGGCUCCAUACGUUUGCUUCAUGAGCUACAGCGCAUGUGUCGAAGCUUCCGGUAUCAGAGGACCAUCACUAUCUGGUAGCGUCUCUGGCUGCUGUUGACCUUGUUUUUGGUGUAAAACACGGUGGAAGCUGAAUUAGUGAGGAUGACUCCUGCUCCUGUCAUCUCUAAGCUCCUCACACAUCUUUACCUGCACAUGAGGAAAAUCACUCCUGUAGAAUGCAGAUGUUCAGAGGGAGAUGAUGCCACAUCUGGUCCAGCUGAUGGAAGGUCUUGAAGUUCUCUGACUGGCCUCGACUGAAGAUAGUCGUCUCACUGGAUUUAAGGUUCAGAUGCUCAGUAACAAACUCCACCAAUGAGCCAACAGGGAAGCUUUAGGUUUAUUAAAUGUUGCUAUGAAAGUUUCGCUGUUUUUCUUUGUGAAUGCAAUGUGCUCCAACUGAAACUUGAAUUAGAACUUAGAAGUAAAUCCUUCCAUCUGAAAGGAUUUAGUUGCAUUAAUAACCUCAUAACAUUCUAAUUUUUAUUCCAGUCUUAGUUGGAAAUAGAAUCUCUGUAUUGAUUCAGGUAAAAACUGAACUUCACAGCAUGUUGAAGCAAAACAACCAGAUGAAAACUGUGAUGGUGUUGGAUUGUCAGACCGUAUUGUUGCAGCUCAAAGCAGCUUUUCUAUCUCAGUUCAUUCUGACAUUCAGCUAUGAAUCAACACAGCAGAUGGUGAUCCAUGCUGUGGAAGUCUCACAUCUCCUGAUUUAAUGGAGCUGCUUUGCACUUUUUACACUGUUUAUUCACCAACACUUUAUUUAAUAAAAGUCCCAUCUAGUUUUUAUGAGGAAUGUGAUGUUUUAAUUUCUCUGUGAAUAACUGCAGUCUAAUGCAACAGCUGGAGUUGUAACAUCUGUCCUGAUAUUGAUCAUGAAGUAUUGAUCAGAAUACUUAUGGUUAGCAGUCAUCCCUGAAGUUUUACAUUAAAAUCUUUACUUGUGUUGUGAACUUUGGUAAGAAGCAGAAACGUUAGCGUUGCCAUGGAUACAUGAGUGUUAAAUUCUGUCCAUGUUUCCAUUUUGGGAAAUUCAGUCCAGUUCCAGAAUGUGGAGGAAUUUAGUCUCACAAUCACAGACAAUAAAUAUUAUCUGAAAGUCGGGUUAUUGUUGUUUAUCAGCACAAUAUAAAAAGAUUAAUGGUAGAAAUAUUCCAGUUAAGACUCUAGAAUAUCAUGAUUUAUGUAAAUUUACUUCAAUAAUAUGAAUGUUCAGGUUAAGAUUGUACAGUGAUAUUUAUUAUGUAAGUUUAGCUGAUUAAAGUUUAUGACUCUGCACUAAAACAUUAUUUAAAUUGACAUCAUUAUUAUAAUAUUUAGGGUCAGACCCUACAGUAUUGAGAUUAAGAAAUCAAAUAUUGUAUAAAAUGUAAAUACACUGAACUCAUUUGGAUAUAUUUAAGUGAGACUCUACAAUAGUAUUUGACACAAAUCUAUCUAAAUCAAAAUUUUAAUAAUUUUCACGCCAAACAUUUACUGGACUGAUUUAAACAUUAAAAUCACCCCUUUCUAAUCCUCUGCUGUACGUUCAAACCUGAGGCCUUAAAUAGAAACACACAAGUAUCUGAUUGAAGGAACUUCUGCAGAGUCCUGGUUCCAGAACAUGAUGAUAGAAUUAUAGACAAACUUUAACAAAAGCUGCCUGAGAGUUUACAGGUUUUUAUGUUGGAUUUCUUCAGUAAUUUAAUGAGAGUUAUCAGCAAUAAUCAAGUGUUCAUUUGAUGAACUUCAUUUCCUAAAACAUCCAGAAUUGGAGCUCAUAUCUUUGGCAGCUGUAAAGUUUCUGCUCCUUCAAAGUUCACAACACAAUGAAUGAAUUCCUAAAACACUCUCAAUGCUGGAGAGCGUUUGUGAUGCUGAAGCAGUGACCAGUUUUUCUGUUUCUUCUCUGGAGAUGCACAAUGAGGGACGUCUGCAGAGACUGAGAAAGAGUCUCACCACAUCCUGACAUGAGGAAAAAGACUUUAUUGAAGACUACAAUGAGAAAAACUAUCAGACAGCAGACAGCUGCAUUCAAGGCUACAGGAGGAGCCCUACGAGUACGAGCCGGUCCACCUGAUGGCGGCCAGUCGCUGUGGUUCAAAGCCAACACCGACUACGUGGACUUCUACUGGACCACACGGAGGCCUUCAAACCGGACCAACAAGUUCACCGACUCCCCGACUCGUGGGUCUGAGGACGCCGCCGAGCCUCGGUCCAGCCGGCCUCCUGUCUGUGGGUGUUUGAGUGCUGAGAGAUGUUAAGUUAAAGGAAUUUUAUUCGUGACGUAUAACCAAUCAAAUCACUCCAGAAGACAGAGCGACCACAGG
ensembl:lncRNA